ensembl:ncRNA Y67D8C.20 ncRNA
AUAGGCAGAAUUUUAGGCGGCAGUUACCUAUGCAGGCGGCAGGCUCAAAUUUUUUAUUUUUUAACCUCGCCUGGCUAAUGCCUACACGGCAGAUCAACCUCACCUUUAAGGCGACUUACACAUGCCUGGUAGGCACACAGAUAGGCAUCUUCGUACCUACGUAAAAGGCUCACCAAAGAUUCUUCAAAUUUCUCAGUCAAACUUUCCAAUUACCAUAAAAAC